rnacentral:lncRNA from 1 species
UUCUUAUUGCUUGAGAAUUUUAAGGAGCAUUGUGGGUUUCUCUGCCCAUAAGGAGGAAACUACAUUUUGUAUGUGAUGCAUGUUUGGCUGAAAUCCCCCCUUCUACCUUUUGCAGAGCUCUCACAAAUCAAGUAAGUUACGAAGUGGCCUGAAUGUCUAGAUUCUAGCUUGCUUUGAAUUUAUGAAUUAUCGCUGCUAUAUUGUUAUCUCGGGAUAGUGAAACAGUCGAGUUGUACUACUUGCAGGGGAUUUCUGCAUACAGUUCAUCCAUUCAGUAAAGGCAUAUGCAGAAAUAUCUAUCACUUUGACUUCACCACGAAAUUAAUUUGUUCUGGAAGCCGUAGGUACCCUUACUCGAGGAGCUGGAAGCCAGAGAAGCUCUGUACCAAUUUUAGUGCUGGUGUUAUUGAUCUGUGUGUUGCUGUGCCAUUCUUCAGCCCUAGCAUGUGUUGUCAUCCAUUGUUCAAACUUUUUCUUCCACUGGAAGCAUGUCUUUCAUGAACUGCACCAAUAAAUGUACAUUGA